rnacentral:rRNA from 1 species
UAAUUGAAGAGUUUGAUCAUGGCUCAGAUUGAACGCUGGCGGCAGGCCUAACACAUGCAAGUCGGGCGGUAACAGGGAGAAGCUUGCUUCUCUGCUGACGAGCGGCGGACGGGUGAGUAAUGUAUGGGGAUCUGCCUGAUGGCGGGGGAUAACUACUGGAAACGGUAGCUAAUACCGCAUAAUGUCUUCGGACCAAAGCGGGGGACCUUCGGGCCUCGCGCCAUCAGAUGAACCCAUAUGGGAUUAGCUAGUAGGU